AUUAACCCCCACACGGAUACUGAGACACGGAUCCGACUCCUACGGGAGGCAGCAGUAAGGAAUAUUGGACAAUGCCCGCAAGGGUGAUCCAGCCAUGCCGCGUGCAGGAAGGCGGCCCUAUGGGUUGUAAACUGCUUUUACACCGGAGAAAACCCCACUACAUGUAGUGGGCUGAUAGUAUGGUGAGAAUAAGCAUCGGCUAACUUCGUGCCAGCAGCCGCGGUAAGACGGAGGAUGCAAGCGUUAUCCGGAUUCAUUGGGUUUAAAGGGAGCGUAGGUGGCCUUAUAAGUCAGUGGUGAAAUCUCUGGGCUUAACCCAGAAAUUGCCACUGAUACUGUAGGGCUUGAGUAUAGUUGCCGUUGGCGGAAUAUGACAUGUAGUGGUGAAAUACAUAGAGAUGUCAUAGAACACCGAUUGCGAAGGCAGCUGACGAAACUAUAACUGACACUGAGGCUCGAAAGUGUGGGGAUCAAACAGGAUUAGAUACCCUGGUAGUCCACACUGUAAACGAUGAUUACUCGCUGCUAGAGGGCAACUUUUAGUGGCUUAGCGAAAGCGAUAAGUAAUCCACCUGGGGAGUACGCCGGCAACGGUGAAACUCAAAGGAAUUGACGGGGGCCCGCACAAGCGGAGGAGCAUGUGGUUUAAUUCGAUGAUACGCGAGGAACCUUACCAGGGCUUGAAAGUUAGGGAAUAACUCUGAAAGGAGUUAGUCAGCAAUGACCCGAAACUAGGUGCUGCAUGGCUGUCGUCAGCUCGUGCCGUGAGGUGUUGGGUUAAGUCCCGCAACGAGCGCAACCCCUACCAUUAGUUGCCAGCGGUUCGGCCGGGGACUCUAGUGGAACUGCCCGCGCAAGCGGUGAGGAAGGUGGGGAUGACGUCAAGUCAUCACGGCCCUUACGUCCUGGGCUACACACGUGCUACAAUGGCUAUUACAGAGGGCAGCUACAUGGCAACAUGAUGCAAAUCUUCAAAAAUAGUCUCAGUUCGGAUUGGGGUCUGCAACUCGACCCCAUGAAGCUGGAUUCGCUAGUAAUCGCGCAUCAGCAAUGGCGCGGUGAAUACGUUCCCGGGCCUUGUACACACCGCCCGUCAAGCCAUGAAAGCUGGGAGUGUUUAAAGUCGGUAGCCGCAAGGCGCCGCCUAGAGUAAAACCGGUGAUUGGGGCUAAGUCGUAACAAGGUAGCCGUACCGGAAGGUGCGGCUG
rnacentral:rRNA from 1 species